rnacentral:rRNA from 1 species
AUGGCGCUGGGGACAACCGAGCCGCUCCUCCUCCAGCCCCCGGAGCAGCGCCGGCGUCCGCCGGACUGGCUCGCGUGGGGGCUCCCCGCGGCGGUUCUGACACUGCUGCUGCUGUCCGCCUCCGGCCCUCUCCGUCCGCCGCUUUUCCGCGUGCCGCCGCCGGAGACCGUCCCGCUGACCCUGCUCGCCGGCGCGCAGGAGAAGGGAGCAGUGUGCCUGGAUGGGACCCCGCCGGGUUACCACCUGCAGAGAGGCUCCGGCGACGGAUCCAACCGCUGGCUCAUCCAUCUAGAGGGUGGUGGCUGGUGCAGCACAAUCAAGGACUGUUCCAACCGCAGAAUGUACGCGCUCGGUUCAUCCAACUUCAUGAAACCGAUGCGGUUCGCCGGCGCUGGGAUCCUCGGCAGUGACCAGCUGCAAAAUCCUGAUUUCUACAACUGGAACAAAGUGUUUGUGCGGUAUUGUGAUGGGGCGUCGUUUUCUGGGGACGCGGAAGGUCGAGCACAGGCCCUCCUCACAGGCUGUUCUGCUGGUGGUCUAGCCACGAUACUACAUUGCGAUGAUUUCAGUGCACGGUUUUCUCGCGAUGUUUCAGUUAAAUGCCUUGCUGAUGCUGGGUUUUUUCUUGACGUAAAGGAUAUUUCAGGGAAAAGGUCCUUUUGGUCUGUCUAUGAUGGCGUUGUUCACCUCCAGAAUGUCAGAGAAGUGUUGCCCAAGGACUGCCUUGCCAACAAGGAGCCAACCGAGAUACGAAAUGUUCUUGUACCAGUUUCAUCGGCUCCUGAUAAGCCGUGGUCGAGUUGCAAGGACAAUAUCCGCAACUGCAAUUCCACACAAAUCAAAGUCCUUGAUGCCUUCAGGAACACAAUGGUGGGUGCAUUCAAGGUUGUGGAAGAUAAGGAGGACUGGGGAUUGUUCAUCGAUUCAUGCUUCACUCACUGCCAAUCCCUAUAUGGCAUCUCUUGGAAUUCAGAAAUCUCCCCGAGGCUUGGAAAUAAGAGCAUUGCAGAGGCCGCAGGAGAUUGGUACCAUGGAAGGAGCCAAGGAGAGAAAGAGAUAGACUGCGAGUAUCCAUGCAACCCAACAUGCAGCGGACAGUUGCCUCCAUGA